ensembl:lncRNA
GUGCCCAUGACCAACUCCUCAUUGUGGAUGGAUUUAGUCUGGUUGGACUUUCUCAGGAAAGGCAGCUGAACUCAUGACUAGUACCAGUUCCAUGGUUACCCUGGAAGUUGCAAAUCAAGACAUCCUCUCUCACUGCCUGUCCACCUUUCUUACCCAGCCAUUGUCCUCCAUGGUGCAGAGAGGAAUGGCUCUGCGUGUGGUCAACACACACUACCCUGGAAGACCAGAGAGUUCAAGGACGGCCAACUUUCACUUAAGCAAACUUGUCCACAGACUGCGUGGGUCCCAUCAGCUGGGAGUAGCCUCCACAUUGCAGUGAUGUGCAAACUUCUGCUU